rnacentral:rRNA from 1 species
UACGUAGGGUGCAAGCGUUGUCCGGAAUUAUUGGGCGUAAAGAGCUCGUAGGCGGUUUGUUGCGUCGGCUGUGAAAUCCCGAGGCUCAACCUCGGGUCUGCAGUCGAUACGAGCAAACUAGAGUGUUGCAGGGGAGACUGGAAUUCCUGGUGUAGCGGUGAAAUGCGCAGAUAUCAGGAGGAAUACCGGUGGCGAAAGCGACUCUCUGGACGGCAACUGACGCUGAGGCACGAAAGCGUGGGGAGCAAACAGG